GAUGAACGCUGGCGGCGUGCCUAAUACAUGCAAGUCGAGCGAACAGACGAGGAUCUUGCUCCUCUGACGUUAGCGGCGGACGGGUGAGUAACACGUGUAUAACCUACCUAUAAGACUGGGAUAACUUCGGGAAACCGGAUCUAAUACCGGAUAAUAUAUUGAACCGCAUGGUUCAAUAGUGAAAGACGGUUUUGCUGUCACUUAUAGAUGGAUCCGCGCCGCAUUAGCUAGUUGGUAAGGUAACGGCUUACCAAGGCAACGAUGCGUAGCCGACCUGAGAGGGUGAUCGGCCACACUGGAACUGAGACACGGUCCAGACUCCUACGGGAGGCAGCAGUAGGGAAUCUUCCGCAAUGGGCGAAAGCCUGACGGAGCAACGCCGCGUGAGUGACGAAGGUCUUCGGAUCGUAAAACUCUGUUAUUAGGGAAGAACAAAUGUGUAAGUAAAUAUGCACGUCUUGACGGUACCUAAUCAGAAAGCAACGGCUAACUACGUG
rnacentral:rRNA from 1 species